rnacentral:lncRNA from 1 species
CCCUCCAAACUCCUCCAGCGGACGAACUUCCACAACACCUUCCAGACUCUCCUAUUGGCCGACCUUCUAUAGCACCUUCCGAAUUUCGCUGUCGGUCGACCUUCUGUCGGAUUUCUCAUGCAAUCGGAUCUCUCCAGCAGACAAUUCUUCAAACAAGCUUCUACAUCAUACAAAUUUCAGACGGACUUCUCCAGCAAACAGACUCCUGCCGGACUUCUCCCA